rfam:Aspergillus wentii DTO 134E9 unplaced genomic scaffold ASPWEscaffold_2, whole genome shotgun sequence.
GCUCCAGUAGCUCAAUGGUAGGGCGCCAGACUUGUAAGUUUAAUCGACUCUAUGUUACCCAUUUAAUUCUUAACUAACAGUAUCACAGCUAAUCUGGAGAUUGCGGGUUCGAGUCCCGUCUGGAGUA